CUUGCAUAAAGUUUUCAUUGGCACUUUUGAUGUCACCAAUAUUUUCCAGCUGUGACAUCACAAUAGAAGAUAUGUAGUAUUUAGGAGAGAUCAAGGUGUUUCUGGAUCAUGGAAUACAUUUAUUUUCAAGUAGGCAAGAUGUUUCCAAGUUGGUCUCCAAAGUGGUUGUACCAAUUUACAUUUUAACUAACAAUAGACCCAGAAGAUUAUCUAAGAUGUUGUGCUGUUUUCACUUCGAAGGCUCAGAGAUGAUUAUCGUUACAAUGAACCCAGAGUCGUCUUUUCACUUUUUUCAUUAUUGAAAUUUUGGGAGAAGAGAGGCAUCAGUCCAUGGUUGGUUUGGCUCCAAGGCAGAAACAGAAUGACGGAAGGGCAUAGUGGAAGAAAGCUGCUUGCUUCAUGGGAUCCAGGAAGCAGAGGUACAAAGGUGGUGCUUGGGACAAGGACAAGAAUAUACCCUUCUAGGUCAUGUCCACAGUGACCUGCCUUCUUGGACCAGACACCAGGCUCCAACUCCAAACAUGAGACAUUUUUGAAGGACAUUUGGGAUCUAAACCACUCUUCACUCUUCCUUCACUCUAACUUCACUCUUACUAAAAUAGGUAAGAGUAGAAUAACAUUCCAC
rnacentral:lncRNA from 1 species